rnacentral:rRNA from 1 species
CCUACGGGAGGCAGCGGUGGGGAAUUUUGGACAAUGGGGGCAACCCUGAUCCAGCCAUUCCGCGUGAGUGAAGAAGGCCUUCGGGUUGUAAAGCUCUUUUGUUCGGGACGAAACGGUUUUGGUUAAUAACCAAGACUACUGACGGUACCGGAAGAAUAAGCACCGGCUAACUACGUGCCAGCAGCCGCGGUAAUACGUAGGGUGCGAGCGUUAAUCGGAAUUACUGGGCGUAAAGCGUGCGCAGGCGGUUUUGUAAGCCAGAUGUGAAAUCCCCGGGCUCAACCUGGGAAUGGCAUUUGGGACUGCAAGGCUAGAGUAUGGCAGAGGGGACUAGAAUUCCUGGUGUAGCAGUGAAAUGCGUAGAUAUCAGGAGGAAUACCGAUGGCGAAGGCAGGUCCCUGGGCCAAUACUGACGCUCAUGCACGAAAGCGUGGGGAGCAAACCAGGAUUAGAUACCCUGGUAGUCCACGCCCUAAACGAUGUCAACUGGUUGUUGGGGGAUUUAUUCUCUUAGUAACGAAGCUAACGCGUGAAGUUGACCGCCUGGGGUAGGUACGGUCGCGAGAGUAAACUACGAAGAAGUAAGUAGCGUUGAGAGUUGCGACGGCGACGACGAGGGAGGAGG